GUGAUCCCUACCGCUUUGAGGUUCCGCCUCAUAGAGUUUCUUUUGAAAUAGCCUUGCUCUGUACUAAGCAACGAAACUCUGUUAAAGUAAAGAAGACAAAGCAGCAGCGAAGAAACUCUAUUAGACCAAAGAAGAAGCGACGAAACGAAUUGUUUAUUUCUGACAAUGGAAGAUCAUAUCACGAUCAAAAAUACCACAGACAUUCCGUCCAUACUUCAAUCUUCAGAUGUGUUUUUGUGCCCUUUCUGUCAUCCGCGACUGUAUUCUUCACGCUCGUAUAUACGAGCAAAUGAACACUUGCGAGAUCACCGCAGAACAGCAGUUUCCUACGGAGGCUGUUGUAUCUCAUAAGGUAUCAUCCAAAUGGUUUACAAAAUUAUGAAAAUCCUAAAGGUCACCGGGUAAUGACUUAUGUAGAAGAUGAGGAGCUGAUAGAUGGCCUCUACAACUUCUUGGAUGAAGUGCUGUGAAGAGCUGUAGGCACUUUUGAGAGGAUUGACAGAGUUCACAUCAUUCUGGAUGUGCUGAUGCCAGAGGUUAAUUAGCCUUCAGUAAAUCUCUAAUGAGUACAGAAAGUGUGUCUAUGAGUAACAUCCUCUCUUUUUCUGUGUUUUUGAUGGGCUCUUAUUAAAGCUGUACAAACAGUUGAGAGGACUUCUCUGCCAGAGGCAGAAAAUCUGUUCAUGGAUGGACCAGAAUACAGUGAGUGUGAGAGGGAAGAGUUUGACAAACUUGUUUUACAACAGUUGGAAGUAAAAGGAAAGCAACACUGAGGUCCUACUGGUGUGCUGAACACGUCAGCCUGUCUUUAGGGUCUCUGAGACUGGAGGAGGCCAGGAGUCCAACUGUACAGCAGGCACUGAUGAGCAUCAGCAUCACGACUGGUAACAAGAUAGAGAUGGCAGAUAUUUGAGCUGGACAUAAUCCUAUAUGAGUAUCCAAGCAAACAGCAUAUUCAGAGCACACCGAGUCUGUAUACUCCAGUAUGGCCCUGACAUAACCACCUGUACAGCUGUAAACGACUCCACUUAACUGGUCAUUUAGCACACACUGCACUGAGUCUGUCAAGUCAUAGCCAUUAAAUAAUUCAAUCUGAACACCUGGAAAUUUAUUUUGGCAAUGAUAUUUCUGGUAAGGCAUUUUUAUAUUGUCGUUUCUCAUUGGUUUAUACUGAAAAUGUGGUUUACAUCAAUGUAGUUUUCAAUAGUAUGUAUUACAUAUAUAGUAUAUUAAAAAAUUAAAGGAGCACUUUGAAAGCACAUGAGAUCUUAAUGGGAAAAAAUCUUGCUGGCUGUCUCUGCUGCUAUGGACUGAUGUGUUAGAAACAACAGGAUGGCACAUCAUUUGUUGGAAAUGAAAAUGAUGAACCUACAGAGGGCUGAAUUCAAAGACACCCCGAAAAUCAAAGGGAAAAAACGAUGCGGCAGGCAGGCAGGCGAGUCCAUUUUGCCGAAAUUUCAUUGCAGCAACUCCAAAUAGCACUCAGUAAUUUGUAUGGCCCCCAUGUGCUUGUGUGCAUGCCUGACAAUAUUGUGUGUGUGGGGGGGGGGGUAUGGGCAUGCUGCUAAUGAGAUGAAGGAUGAUGUCCUGGGGGAUCUCUUCCCAGAUCUGGACCAGGGCAUCACUGAGCUCCUGGACAGUCUGAGGUGCAACCUGGUGGCGUCGGAUGGACUGAAACAUAAUAUCCCACCCAGAGGUGUUUUUGGGGCAGUCAAUGGGAUCAAUUCCUUCAUCCUCUGACCACAUGAGGCCGGCCGUUGUGGUGCACCAGGAGGAACUGCACCAGCAUAGGGUCUGCCAAUGGGUCCAAGGAUUUCAUCCAGAUACCUAAUAGCAGUCAAGGUGCCCACUGUUGUCUAAUCUGUAGAGGUCUGUGUGUCCCUCCAUGGAUAUGCCUCCAUAGACCAUCACUGACCCACCACCAAACCGGUUAUGCUGAACUACGCCACAGGCAGAAUAACAUUCUCCAUGGCUUCUCCAGACCCUUUCACAUCUGACACAUGUGCUCAGGGUGAACCUGCUCUCAUCUGUGAAAAGCACAGGGUGCCCACCAGUGGAAGACCUGCCAAUUCUGGUAUUCUAUGGCAAAUGCCAAUCGAGCUCCAUGGUGCUCACUAGAGGAGGUCAGGCCAUCCUCCUCAAGUCUGUUUGUGAUUGUUUGGUCAGAGACAUUCACACCAGUGGCCUCCCUGCUGGUGGUCAUUCUAUGGGCUCUGGCAGUGCUCAUCCUGUUCCUCCUUGGCCAAAGGAGCAGAAACUGGUGAGUCCUGCUGAUGGGUUAAGGACCUUCUACGAGGGGCCCUGUCCAGUUCUCCUGAAGUAACUGCCUGCCUGUCUCCUGGAAUCUCCUCCACGCCCUUGAGACUGUGCUGGGAGACAUGGCAAACCUUCUGGCAAUGGCACAUGUUGAUGUGCCAUCCUGGAGAAGUUGGACUACCUGUGCAAGCUCUGUAGGGUCCAGGUAUGGCCUCAUGCAACCAGUAGUGACACUGACUGUAGCCAAAUGCAAAACGAGUGACAAAAUAGAUGAGGAGGGAAAAAUGUCAGUGGCCUCCCUCCACCUGUUAAACCAUUCAUUCCUGUUUUGGGGGUCGUCUCAUUGUUGCUCUAACCCCCCCCCCCCCCCCAGUGCCCCAAAGCAGCUGAAACUGAUGAACAAGCCCCACUGCUACUUAACUGAGCAGAUCAAUAGCCCACAAGUGUCACUGACUUGAUGCUAUACUCUCAUUAAAAAGGGUUCCUUUCAUUUUUUGAGAAGAAAUAUCUAUCUAUAUAUAUCUAUAUAUAUAUAAUGUCAAGACCUUAGAAUAACAAGGUCCUAGCUGUGAGUCAUGGUUUUAAAAUACUGAUCUUCAAAAGUUUUGACUAUUUAUCAGGUGUAUACAAUCCUUUUCUUUUAAUUUUGUUCCCAUAUGUAAAACCUGUAUUUUAAGUUAAAAAUGCAAGUGUUAUUGAAAAUGUGACUCCUAAUAAAAGAUAAGUAAGAACCA